UACGGAGGGUGCAAGCGUUAUCCGGAUUUACUGGGUUUAAAGGGUGCGUAGGUGGGUAGGUAAGUCAGUGGUGAAAUCUCCGGGCUUAACCCGGAAACUGCCAUUGAUACUAUUUAUCUUGAAUACUUUGGAGGUAAGCGGAAUAUGUCAUGUAGCGGUGAAAUGCUUAGAUAUGACAUAGAACACCAAUUGCGAAGGCAGCUUACUACACAGUAAUUGACACUGAGGCACGAAAGCGUGGGGAUCAAACAGG
rnacentral:rRNA from 1 species